UGCAUUGACAAUUCCUGAUCUGCUAGGGAAGGUGAUGUUCCCUGAUCUGCGGUCCACAGAGCCAUCCUUGGUGAUGUUAAAUUGAUGUACAAAGCUCUUAAGUAUUGCACACCCUGGGGUUUCUGUGUUUGGAGCCAUCGCAGAUGUAGAAAUGUCCCAUGGGAAGACCAGUGUUGCUGUGUGGGCCUCAGGCAAUCUACACCACAGUCCUCAUCUAGGGAACUUUGUCUGGAAUGCUGACUCUGCCAGCUCAGAAUCCUUAGAGUGGUCAUCAGAGUCUGCAUGCUUAUUCAGAUUCCAAAAUCAUUAUGUUUCAACCAAAGUCUAAGGCCCUCAAGGAUGUAUAUGUGACUUCUCUGAGCUUCAAUGAUGGCCAUAAGAAGAGACUCGUGCUUUUCUAGACAGCCUUGACAUUUCUCUAUGUGUGGUCACAUACAAAGAAGAAACAGGAUUGCCCAUCAUUAGAGGAAGCAGCCACUGGAGCCUGAGCAUCAAGUGAUGCUCAGUGGAAAGAGAUGCUGUCAGCCUGGAGGUGCUAAGAUGAUGUAAAAAGAGCCAAGGAAUUCUUAAAGUACACCAGCAAUACUUUAUUCCCCAGGCCAUUCGGGCUAGAUGAGUGUUGAAGUCUGAGUCAUGGCCACUGCCCUUGAGAGCAUCUGAGAAGAAUGUCUUGGUAAUGGGAAGAUUUGAGAUUGAAACAGAUGAACGUAUAGAACAGGAGAAAUAAAGGUUUGGGGAUAUGGG